rnacentral:rRNA from 1 species
CCUACGGGUGGCAGCAGUGGAGAAUAUUGCACAAUGGGGGAAACCCUGAUGCUGCGACGCCGCGUGAGUGAAGGAGUAAUUCGUUAUGUAAAGCUCUAGCAGCAGGGAAGAAAAUGACGGUACCUGAGUAAGAAGCGCCGGCUAACUACGUGCCAGCGGCCGCGGUAAUACGUAGGGGGCAAGCGUUAGCCGGGUUUACUGUGUGUAAAGGGAGCGUAGACGGGAGUGCAAGUCUGGAGUGAAAGGCGGGGGCUCAACCCCCGGACUGCUCUGGAAACUGUACGGCUGGAGUGAAGGAGAGGGAAGUGGAAUUCUUGGUGUAGCAGUGAAAUGCGUAGAUAUUAGGAGGAACACCAGUGGCGAAGGCGGCUUACUGGACUGUAACUGACGUUGAGGCUCGAAGGCGUGGGGAGCAAACAGGAUUAGAUACCCGGGUAGUC